AGCGAACGCUGGCGGCAGGCCUAACACAUGCAAGUCGAACGUAGUCUUCGGACUUAGUGGCGGACGGGUGAGUAACACGUGGGAACGUACCUUUUGGUUCGGAACAACUCAGGGAAACUUGAGCUAAUACCGGAUGAGCCCUUAGGGGGAAAGAUUUAUCGCCGAAAGAGCGGCCCGCGUUAGAUUAGCUAGUUGGUGAGGUAAAGGCUCACCAAGGCUACGAUCUAUAGCUGGUCUGAGAGGAUGAUCAGACACACUGGGACUGAGACACGGCCCAGACUCCUACGGGAGGCAGCAGUGGGGAAUCUUGCGCAAUGGGCGAAAGCCUGACGCAGCCAUGCCGCGUGAAUGAUGAAGGUCUUAGGAUUGUAAAAUUCUUUUACCAGGGACGAUAAUGACGGUACCUGGAGAAAAAGCCCCGGCUAACUUCGUGCCAGCCGCCGCAGUAACAC
rnacentral:rRNA from 1 species